UACGGAGGGUGCAAGCGUUAUCCGGAUUCACUGGGUUUAAAGGGAGCGUAGGUGGGCUGGUAAGUCAGUGGUGAAAUCUCCGGGCUUAACUCGGAAACUGCCGUUGAUACUAUCAGUCUUGAAUAUCGUGGAGGUGAGCGGAAUAUGUCAUGUAGCGGUGAAAUGCUUAGAUAUGACAUAGAACACCAAUUGCGAAGGCAGCUCACUACCCGAAUAUUGACUCUGAGGCACGAAAGCGUGGGGAGCAAACAGG
rnacentral:rRNA from 1 species